rnacentral:rRNA from 1 species
UCCGUAGGUGAACCUGCGGAAGGAUCAUUAUCGUGGGGCUCCGGCCCCGUCGAGAUAGAACCCUUGCCUUUUUCGAGCACCGUCCGUUUCCUCGGCAGGCCCGCCUGCCAAUGGGGACCCAAACCAAACCCUUCUCCUCCUGUAUCAGUCUGAACAAAACCAAAAAUCAAAACUUUCAACAACGGAUCUCUUGGUUCUGGCAUCGAUGAAGAACGCAGCGAAAUGCGAUAAGUAAUGUGAAUUGCAGAAUUCAGUGAAUCAUCGAAUCUUUGAACGCACAUUGCGCCCGCCAGUAUUCUGGCGGGCAUGCCUGUUCGAGCGUCAUUUCAACCCUCGGGCCCCGCACUCGUGCGGGCUCCGGCGUUGGGGACCGGCCUCCGCAUCGGACGGCCGCCCCCGAAACCCAGUGGCGGUCCCGCCGCGGCCUUCUCUGCGUAGUAGCAUACACCUCGCACUGGAGAGCGGCGCGGCCACGCCGUAAAAGAAACGAACUUUCUCAAGGUUGACCUCGGAUCAGGUAGGAAUACCCGCUGAACUUAA